rnacentral:rRNA from 1 species
AUUGAACGCUGGCGGCAGGCCUAACACAUGCAAGUCGAGCGGAUGAAGGGAGCUUGCUCCUGGAUUCAGCGGCGGACGGGUGAGUAAUGCCUAGGAAUCUGCCUGGUAGUGGGGGAUAACGUCCGGAAACGGGCGCUAAUACCGCAUACGUCCUGAGGGAGAAAGUGGGGGAUCUUCGGACCUCACGCUAUCAGAUGAGCCUAGGUCUGAUUAGCUAGUUGGUGGGGUAAAGGCCUACCAAGGCGACGAUCCGUAACUGGUCUGAGAGGAUGAUCAGUCACACUGGAACUGAGACACGGUCCAGACUCAUACGGGAGGCAGCAGUGGGGAAUAUUGGACAAUGGGCGAAAGCCUGAUCCAGCCAUGCCGCGUGUGUGAAGAAGGUCUUCGGAUUGUAAAGCACUUUAAGUUGGGAGGAAGGGCAGUAAGUUAAUACCUUGCUGUUUUGACGUUACCAACAGAAUAAGCACCGGCUAACUUCGUG